rnacentral:rRNA from 1 species
GACGUCCUACCGGAGGCAGCAGUGAGGAAUAUUGGUCAAUGGGCGGGAGCCUGAACCAGCCAAGCCGCGUGAGGGAAGAAGGUACAGCGUAUCGUGAACCUCUUUUGUCAGGGAACAAAGGCGGGGACUGGUCCCCGGAUGAGGGUACCUGAAGAAAAAGCAUCGGCUGACUCCGUGCCAGCAGCCGCGGUAAUACGGAGGAUGCGAGCGUUAUCCGGAUUUAUUGGGUUUAAAGGGUGCGCAGGCGGCCUGUUAAGUCAGCGGUAAAAGCCCGGGGCUCAACCCCGGCGAGCCGUUGAAACUGG